CUACGGGGGGCAGCAGUGGGGAAUAUUGGACAAUGGGGGGAACCCUGAUCCAGCCAUGCCGCGUGUGUGAAGAAGGCCCUCGGGUUGUAAAGCACUUUCAGUGAGGAAGAACGCCUGGUGGUUAAUACCCAUCAGGAAAGACAUCACUCACAGAAGAAGCACCGGCUAACUCCGUGCCAGCAGCCGCGGUAAUACGGAGGGUGCGAGCGUUAAUCGGAAUUACUGGGCGUAAAGCGCGCGUAGGUGGCUUGAUAAGCCGGUUGUGAAAGCCCCGGGCUCAACCUGGGAACGGCAUCCGGAACUGUCAAGCUAGAGUGCAGGAGAGGAAGGUAGAAUUCCCGGUGUAGCGGUGAAAUGCGUAGAGAUCGGGAGGAAUACCAGUGGCGAAGGCGGCCUUCUGGACUGACACUGACACUGAGGUGCGAAAGCGUGGGUAGCAAACAGGAUUAGAUACCCGAGUAGUC
rnacentral:rRNA from 1 species